rnacentral:lncRNA from 1 species
AUGCUGUCAAUUGCCGAAUUAAUGGUCCAGAAAGCUAUGGAAACUGUGAUAGGUAAAAUUUGCCAUGAUUUGGCUCCGCGGCCCAGUCCGUUCUGCUCCACUGUGCAUUUAACACUAAUUAGCUCCCAUAUAAAAGAGAAUGAUGACUCCAUAACAUGGAAAUUAUGUAGAUUGUAUUAUGAAUGUGUAAGAUUCCGUACAACCAAGUGGAAUUUGUAUCAUGUACUAGCUGCCACAAAAUGGUUAUCUGUAGUCCUAAAACAGGCUGCAAAUUCAGUGGAAUCCCAAAUUCUACUCCUUGUAGGUAAACUGACUCUGAAAAGAUAAAUAUCAAUGUAAACAAAAAGAAUUUAGUGAACAUCCAGACUUAAAGAAAAAUCAAUUUAUGUGUUGACCUUGGAGAAAAGCAUUGAAAGGAGUAUGUGAGAGAUGACCAUGCAGUCCUACCAAGCUAGACAGGUGGAAAACAGUAAAAUCUAUCCCAUCAUGAGAAGUAUCCACCCCCUUACCUUUUUUUUUUUUUAACGUAAAGUGCUGAGUAUUGGUUUUAGAAAUAAGCAGUGGUUACAGAUUAUUGCUGCAUAUCAAAAUGUUCACAGUGAGGAAACUCGUUAAACCGUAGAAUCUGUGGUGGCUUCCAAAGCCUGCCUUUUUGUGUAGAGGUGAAGACUUCCAUCCAAGCAUACAAUUUCAAAGCAUUCUCUACUUGGAGGCCCCUGGCCACACUAAUUCAUGGCCACAUUAUUUGCUACUGGCUGGGAAAUGGCCUUAACUUAGAACAGUGGGUCUCAAAUUUGAAUAUGUAUGUGAAUCACCUGACGAAAGUGUAGAAUCAGUAAGUCUAUGGAGGGGCCUGAUAGUCUGUAUUUCUAACAAUUUCCUAGGUGAUGCUGGUUCUUCUGGUCUGGCACCAUGCUAUGGGUGGUAAAGAUUUAGACUUAGCACUUUGUUGUUUCUCAUGAGAAUAGGAAAAACAUGGAAGAAAACCAGUUUUGCAAAGUUUACAGUUGCAAAGGAACACCUUUCCAAGUGUCUCAAUGUGAAUAUAUAUAAAAGAAUAAGACAGUUCCUUUUUUAAAGAUUUUUUAUUUAUUCAUUUGAGAGAGAGAGAGCAGGGUGGGUCAGAGGGAGAGGGAGAGGGAGAGGGAGAAGACAACUCCCUGUGGAGCAGGAGGAUUGAUGGGGGGCUUGAUGCGGUGCUCAAUCCCAGGACCCAGGGAUCAUGACUCCAUUCAAAGGCAGACGCUUAACUGCUUGACCGACUGAACCACCGAAGUGCCCUAAGAGUAAGACAGUUCUUACAUCACCUUCCACCAUUAAGCAGAUGGUUGAUUAAGAGAACCUAUAGAAUUAUUGCUUCUUCUGAAACCCCUUAAUGAGUCAGGAUUUUAUAAGUGAGUAUUACUUAUGGUUUAUUUACCUUGGUUUACAAUAACAUGAAUUUAAAAUAUAAGACCCUAACAGAAAUUUCAGAAUGAAAUCUCUUUACUUUUUAUAAAAAACACAAAAGAUUUCUAACACUCUCAAUCUGAAGAGCAGGCCUACUCAGACAGGAUUUAUCCUGUGCUUCUGUAUGGAUAUACAGAAUAUUUCUCAUUUAUUGAUUUACUUAUUCAUUAUUAAUUUAAUAUCAUAAAAUUAAAAAUAUUUAUAAUCUCAUAACCUAGAGACAUUCACUGGGUUGGCUUUAGCUAAUCACAAAAAGUCAUCACAUGGGAUAUGUUACAACCUUUUUUUUUUUUUUUUUAAGAUUUUAUUUAUUUAUUCUUGAGAGAGAGGGAGAGGCAGAGACACAGGCAGAGGGAGAAGCAGGCUCCAUGCUGGGAGCCCGACGUGGGACUUGAUCCCAGGUCUCCAGGAUCACGCCCUGGGUUGAAGGCAGGUGCCAAACCGCUGAGCCACC